GACGAACGCUGGCGGCGUGCUUAACACAUGCAAGUCGAACGGAAAGGCCCUGCGUUUGUGGGCUGCUCGAGUGGCAAUCGGGUGAGUAACACGUGAGCAACCUAACCUUGACUUUGGUAUAACUUCACGAAACUGGGGCUAAUCUCGGAUAGGAUCUCCCGCUGCAUGGUGGGGGGUGGAUAGUUGCGGCGGGAGCGGUUGGACUCGCGGCUUUUCGACUGGUUGGUGGGGUAGUGGCUUGCCCAGGCUUAGGCGGAUAGCCGGCAUGAGAGGGUGACCGGCGUCAAGGGGACUGAGAGACGGGCCAGACUCCUACGGGAGGCAGGAGUGGCGAGUAUUGCACAAUGAGCGGGGGCCGGAUGAAGAGACGCGGCGUGUGGGAUGCCGGCCUUCGGGGGGAAAAAAGCAUUAGCCUAUGACCCAGCGUGUGUGACGGUACCCGGUAAAGAAGCACCGGCUAACUGCGUG
rnacentral:rRNA from 1 species